GUUCUGUAUGCCAUUCAAGAAUAGCCUCAUCGACAAAUCGCCACCUAUAGAAUCAAUUGCCCGGAGUAUAUUUUGGGAUGGUUCUUGUUCAGUUUCAUCUGCUCCUUGUGCGCUCAAAUCUUCACCAGUUUCCACUUGCCUGGAGGAAGAACAAAACUGGCACUGCCUUGUCGAAGCCCUUCUUACAAUGUCUGGUCUCGG
rnacentral:misc_RNA from 1 species